rnacentral:rRNA from 1 species
CCUACGGGAGGCAGCAGUGAGGAAUAUUGGUCAAUGGACGAGAGUCUGAACCAGCCAAGUAGCGUGAAGGAUGACUGCCCUAUGGGUUGUAAACUUCUUUUAUAUGGGAAUAAAAUGUUCCACGUGUGGGAUUUUGUAUGUACCAUAUGAAUAAGGAUCGGCUAACUCCGUGCCAGCAGCCGCGGUAAUACGGAGGAUCCGAGCGUUAUCCGGAUUUAUUGGGUUUAAAGGGAGCGUAGGUGGAUUGUUAAGUCAGUUGUGAAAGUUUGCGGCUCAACCGUAAAAUUGCAGUUGAAACUGGCAGUCUUGAGUACAGUAGAGGUGGGCGGAAUUCGUGGUGUAGCGGUGAAAUGCUUAGAUAUCACGAAGAACUCCGAUUGCGAAGGCAGCUCACUGGACUGCAACUGACACUGAAGCACGAAAGCGUGGGGAUCAAACAGGAUUAGAUACCCCAGUAGUC